UACGAGGGGGGCAAAUGUUGUUCGGAAUCACUGGGCGUAAAGGGAGCGUAGGCGGGUUCUUAAGUAAGGUGUUUAAUCCCGGGGCCCAACCCCGGACCGGCACUUUAAACUGGGAAUCUUGAAUAGUGGAGAGGUCGGUGGAAUUGGGGGUGUAGCGGUGGAAUGCGUAGAGAUCCCCAAGAACACCAGUUGCGAAGGCGGCCGACUGGACACAUAUUGACGCUGAGGCUCGAAAGCAUGGGGAGCAAACAGGG
rnacentral:rRNA from 1 species